rnacentral:lncRNA from 2 species
ACUGCAGAUGACAUCCGUAUUGCUGACUGUACUGUAGCAGCAGGAGGAGAUGGGUGCCAGCCUUGGAGAAUCCUGCAGGUGAAAGUGAAACGUGAGGCAGGUGCCAUUGCCAAUGGCAGUGCACGCCACACACAAGCAUCAGCAUCAGCAAAUUCAGCAGCAACAACCAACCAGCAACGCACGCAGCAAACAUCCACAGCAGCUGGCUCCUCCUUCCCCCACUCCAACAGUUUGGCAGCAGCAGCAGCGGCAGCUCGUUUCCUCGUCGCGUGCAUGCACAAUUGCAUAGAGUAUGCAGCUGCAGCCGCAGAGGUGAGUACUCCUGCGUCCCAUAGAAAAACUGGAUCAUAUGACAUCCUAAUACUACGAAUCUGAAUAUACAUAG